rnacentral:rRNA from 1 species
GGAAUCUUGCGCAAUGGACGGAAGUCUGACGCAGCGACGCCGCGUGGGCGAAGACGGCCUUCGGGUUGUAAAGCCCUUUUCUGGAGGAAGAGGGAGGACGGUACUCCAGGAAUAAGUGUCGGCUAACUACGUGCCAGCAGCCGCGGUAAUACGUAGGACACGAGCGUUAUCCGGAUUUACUGGGCGUAAAGCGCCUGUAGGCGGUUCUUCAAGUCGUUUGUGAAAGCCCUGGGCUCAACCUGGGGAGGCCAAGCGAUACUGGAGGACUUGAGGGUGACAGAGGGGAGUGGAAUUUCCGGUGUAGCGGUGAAAUGCUUAGAUAUGACACAGAACACCGAUCGCGAAGGCAGCUUACCAAGCAACAACUGACGCUCAUGCACGAAAGCUGGGGAUCAAACA